GGCCUGAUGGUCUAGUAGUAUGAUUCUCGCUUUGGGUGCGAGAGGUCCUGGGUUCAAUUCCCAGUCAGGCCC